AAACUAACAAGGAUUCCCCUAGUAACGGCGAGUGAAGCGGGAAGAGCUCAAAUUUGAAAUCUGGCAGUCUUCGAUUGUCCGAGUUGUAAUCUAUAGAGGCGUUUUCCGUGCCGGACCGUGUCCAAGUCUCCUGGAAAGGAGUAUCAAAGAGGGUGAUAAUCCCGUACUUAACACGACCACCGGUGCUCUGUGAUACGUCUUCUACGAGUCGAGUUGUUUGGGAAUGCAGCUCAAAAUGGGUGGUGAAUUCCAUCUAAAGCUAAAUAUUGGCGAGAGACCGAUAGCGAACAAGUACCGUGAGGGAAAGAUGAAAAGCACUUUGGAAAGAGAGUUAAACAGUACGUGAAAUUGUUGAAAGGGAAACGAUUGAAGUCAGUCGUGUUCUUUGGAUUCAGCCAGUUCUGCUGGUCUACUUCCUUGGAACGGGUCAACAUCAGUUUUGUCCGGUGGAUAAAGGUAGUAGGAAUGUGACUUCUCCGGAAGUGUUAUAGCCUAUUAUCACAUACACUGGGUGAGACUGAGGACUGCAGCUCGCCUUUAUGGCCGGCCUUCGGGCACGUUCGAGCUUAGGAUGUUGACAUAAUGGCUUUUAAACGAC
rnacentral:rRNA from 1 species